CCUACGGGAGGCAGCAGUGGGGAAUAUUGGGCAAUGGGCGAAAGCCUGACCCAGCAACGCCGCGUGAAGGAAGAAGGCUUUCGGGUUGUAAACUUCUUUUGACGGGGAAGAGCAGAAGACGGUACCUGUCGAAUAAGCCACGGCUAACUACGUGCCAGCAGCCGCGGUAAUACGUAGGUGGCAAGCGUUGUCCGGAUUUACUGGGGGUAAAGGGCGUGUAGCCGGGCUGACAAGUCAGAUGUGAAAUCCGGGGGCUCAACCCCCGAACUGCAUUUGAAACUGUUGGUCUUGAGUAUCGGAGAGGCAGGCGGAAUUCCUAGUGUAGCGGUGAAAUGCGUAGAUAUUAGGAGGAACACCAGUGGCGAAGGCGGCCUGCUGGACGACAACUGACGGUGAGGCGCGAAAGCGUGGGGAGCAAACAGGAUUAGAUACCCCAGUAGUC
rnacentral:rRNA from 1 species